rnacentral:rRNA from 1 species
GAUGAACGCUGGCGGCGUGCCUAAUACAUGCAAGUCGAGCGAACGGACGAGAAGCUUGCUUCUCUGAUGUUAGCGGCGGACGGGUGAGUAACACGUGGAUAACCUACCUAUAAGACUGGGAUAACUUCGGGAAACCGGAGCUAAUACCGGAUGAUAUUUUGAACCGCAUGGUUCAAAAGUGAAAGACGGUCUUGCUGUCACUUAUAGAUGGAUCCGCGCUGCAUUAGCUAGUUGGUAAGGUAACGGCUUACCAAGGCAACGAUGCAUAGCCGACCUGCGAGGGUGAUCGGCCACACUGGAACUGAGACACGGUCCAGACUCCUACGGGAGGCAGCAGUAGGGAAUCUUCCGCAAUGGGCGAAAGCCUGACGGAGCAACGCCGCGUGAGUGAUGAAGGUCUUCGGAUCGUAAAACUCUGUUAUUAGGGAAGAACAUAUGUGUAAGUAACUGUGCACAUCUUGACGGUACCUAAUCAGAGAGCCACGGCUAACUACGUG